rnacentral:sRNA from 1 species
UAGUAGAGUUGCUGUUUUUUGUUAUCUGUCGACCUUGAGUAGCGUGAAAAACACCGGGAAUCGUCAGAAAUAGCUCUUUGAGGUAAGAUGGGAGUAAGAAGAAAAGUUAGCGGGUUUUAGCUACUUAUUUUGAAAUGUAAAUGGACUCCUCAGUCAUGAUGAAGGGAUUACCUUUGAAAGUUUUAGUUACUUAAUGUGAAAUAUAAAUUUGGUUCCUUUGGAAAACAACAAUAGCGUGUAGUAUUGUUUACUUACUCAUUGUGAAUUGUAAAUGCAGAAGUAGCAAAAUAACCAAAAGUAAUGACUUUCAUUUUAAUUGCUUAAGAUGAAAUAUAAAUGAAAACCUAUUAUGCUUAUGAUUAUCUAUUUCCGUUAUAAUUAUUCCUUGCAA